AAUACGUUCCCGGGCCUUGUACACACCGCCCGUCAAGCCAUGGAAGCUGGGAGUACCUGAAGUGCGUAACCGCAAGGAGCGUCCUAGGGUAAAAUCGGUAACUGGGGCU
rnacentral:rRNA from 1 species